rnacentral:rRNA from 1 species
ACGGAAGGCAGCAGUGGGGAAUAUUGGACAAUGGGGGAAACCCUGAUCCAGCGACGCCGCGUGAGUGAAGAAGUAUUUCGGUAUGUAAAGCUCUAUCAGUAGGGAAGAUAAUGACGGUACCUAACUAAGAAGCUCCGGCUAAAUACGUGCCAGCAGCCGCGGUAAUACGUAUGGAGCAAGCGUUAUCCGGAUUUACUGGGUGUAAAGGGAGCGUAGACGGCAUGGCAAGUCUGAUGUGAAAUCCCCGGGCUCAACCCGGGAACUGCAUUGGAAACUGUUAAGCUAGAGUGCAGGAGAGGUAAGUGGAAUUCCUAGUGUAGCGGUGAAAUGCGUAGAUAUUAGGAGGAACACCAGUGGCGAAGGCGGCUUACUGGACUGUAACUGACGUUGAGGCUCGAAAGCGUGGGGAGCAAACAGGAUUAGAUACCCUGGUA